rnacentral:rRNA from 1 species
AGCGAACGCUGGCGGCAGGCCUAACACAUGCAAGUCGAGCGGCCGUAGCAAUACGGCAGCGGCAGACGGGAUAGUAACACGUGGGAACGCGCCCUUCGGUUCGGAAUAACUCAGGGAAGCUUGAGCUAAUACCGGAUACGCCUAACGGGAAAGAUUAUUGCCGAAGGAACGGCCCGCGUCCGAUUAGCUAGUUGGUGAGGUAAUGGCUCACCAAGGCGACGAUCGGUAGCUGGCUGAGAGGAUGACCAGCAUCACUGGGACUGAGACACGGCCCAGACUCCUACGGGAGGCAGCAGGUGGGGAAUAUUGGACAAUGGGCGCAAGCCUGAUCCAGCCAUGCCGCGUGGAUGAUGAA